rnacentral:rRNA from 1 species
UACAGAGGGUGCGAGCGUUAAUCGGAUUUACUGGGCGUAAAGCGUGCGUAGGUGGUCGCGCAAGUCGGAUGUGAAAGCCCCGGGCUCAACCUGGGAAUUGCACUCGAUACUGCAUGACUAGAAUUCGGUAGAGGGAGGUGGAACUCCAGGUGUAGCGGUGAAAUGCGUAGAUAUCUGGAAGAACACCGAUGGCGAAGGCAACCUCCUGGGCCUGAAUUGACACUGAGGCACGAAAGCGUGGGGAGCAAACAGG